UCCAGUAAAUCUCUUCGUUCAACCUCUUGUCAAACUAUUCAUGCUGGACUACAUUUUCACUUCGUUACAAGCCAGUCUGAAUGAGGCGAGCAAAUAACCACAACAGAAAUAAGCCAAAUUUUGUUUAAUUUUAAAGCUAAUCUUCAGCAUCAGAAAAACUAGACCUUCCCAUUCUCCUUCAAACCACUCGGAACUAUUUUAAAGCCUUCCCCUAGAGCGUUCCACUGCGGAAAAGAUUUUGGCGAUUGGUCACUGCUGUCAUAUGAUCAACGCAGGGCAACAUGUGCCGUUGAUUUGCUUGGUGCAGAACAAUCUGGAGUAGCACUCGCGGAGGCGAAUGCUUUGUUCAAAGACAAUUUCGGGAAGUAUUAUGCUUCUCCAGUGAGGGACCAAUCCAUUCGUUCAUUGUGCAAGCUGGGUUCUGAAGUAGAGUGCAUCAAAGCCAACCUGCAGGAUAAUGGUUACCUUGUUCAAAUCAUUUCUAACUGCAUAUCAAGCAGAAUCAUAAAUGGAUGUAUGGCUGUCAAUUUUGGACUUUAAGAGUGCCCAGCUGCCUCCAAUUACCCUAGAAAGUGAAUCAUGAAUGAAGUGGAGUACAAGCCUGAGCAGAUAAUACCAUGAAGAAAAGCUCACGGGUCUUCUAUCAUCAACUACAGGACACUGGAAGAAUGUGCAGACUGCACACAGCCCGAGGGUGGAAUCGAACCCAAGAUAACCGUUGCUGCCCAGAUUAAAGAUGUGACCACGCCCAAGAUUCGGGCAUACGGAUGGAUGACUGCUAGAAUGGGCAGAGAGACUGUGCAAGAGCCCCUAUGGCUAUUCUCCUCUCUAACAAUUGUUCUGCUGAUCCUGACAUUGUCAGAAGAACAAAAAUCCACUACACAAGAAUUGUCUCCUAAUUCAAGGUCUCAAAAUCAUCCGAUAGACUUAACUACCCUGAGCACCGUACUUCUUAAACCUAGUGCUAACUCCAAAGUAAUGGAUCAUAUUAACGUGCGUAGGAUCUCAGAUACAGAUGAAAAUAUCUUGAAAUAUCUUCAGAUAGUCCGUGACAUCAAGCUGAUUGAUACCAACUUAAUUGAACCCACACCUACUAUCACUCAUUUACCGUCGUCAGUUUCACCACUGGAUAUUGCCAACAAUGAUCACAGAACAAAGGAGGCCAUAAUUUCCAUGUAUAAUCAAAAUACUUUGCAUGCAGAACGAGCACAUUUAAAGGAAAGACCAUCUCUGCCUCAUAAUUUUGAGUUAGUGGAUCCUGGACAACUUCUAGGCAAUGUAAUAUUGCAUUCCUCAUUUACAAGUAGAUUAUACCACAGAUAUUUUGAAACAAUGUCUUCAUCUAGUAACUAUCAAACUGAGCUGGUUUUGAGAACCUCUGACAUCCAUAAUACCAAGAUGUUGAAAUCUUCAAAUGAUGCAGUCACACUGAAAGAAACCAACUACCUGCAUGCCCUUAAGAAUCUUUGGCACACAGAGGAAUCAAACAUUACAGAAGAACAGGUUUCACAGAGUUCACUUCUUCCUGCCUUGCCACUUAAUCUGAUGAUUACUUCUGAGUCACAGGUUACUUCUAGUCUUCACGGUUUAUCAUUUAAAUUGCAGUCACGUUGUAACCUGGAAUUAUCUGUUGUAACAACAAGUGAUUUUUUGAAAGUUGGUGAUCAAAACCUGUCCGCUAUGAUUACAUCUUGCACUUCAAUCUCUAUGACAACGUUCAGCAUGAUGAAAAGUGAUUCUUUAUCUAAUUCUGUCAUUCUGUCAACCAUGUCUACUCCUGGAAUCUCUUCAAUCCUCUCCGAAUCCGAGACAACAGCAGCAGGAAACUCCCUGAACAGAAUAGUCCCUGCAGAAACUAGGGGCCCUGAAAUAAGCAGCAAUAUUUCCCAAGUAACUGAAGUAGAUGAGCAAGAAAAAGAUUCUAUUUGCCUCAGUAAAAUUGACAUUGCCUGGAUUAUUCUAGCUAUCAGUGUUCCUGUUUCAUCAUGCUAUGAGGUUCACACUGCUGCCCCUUCUGGAAGAAGAGUCGCUAGUACAUCUCAUUCUGCUCCAUAAACGCAUCCUGAACUGGAAGACUGCCUUGGACGCAUCCAAAACUCAGUAGCCCAUCACUUCUUGUAGGUCCUACUUAACAGUGAUCCCGACCGUUGAUCACAGGAACAGGUUUUACACGCUUUUCUGGUGUCAGAACCCUGGACUGCAAUUAUUCUUGUUUAUACCCUGUGUCCUACACAGGACUGCGAGGGUAUGCUUCUUGCCUAUUCCUUUCUACGACGUUGAUAACCUGUCAUCUCACCUCAUCUCAUCACUCAUCUCAGUAAUGCUGACUGCCUCUCUCUGGAUCCCCAACUCACCUUGUCCUAUCAAUGAUGCUAAAAUUGGACAGAAUUCGCACAGAUCUAGCAACUCAAGACUGGGUAUCCAUGAGGUGCUAUGGGCCAUCAACAGCAGCAGAAUUGUACUCCAGCACAAUCUGUAACCUCAUUGCCCGGCAUAUCCCCCACUCAACCAUUACUAUCAAGCCAGGGGAUCAACCGUGGUUCGACGAAGAGUGCCAGGAGCAGCACCAAGCAUAUCAGAAGAUGAGAUAUCAACCUGGUGAAGCCACCAAACAGGAGUACCUGCAUGCCAAACAGCAAAAGCAGCAGGUGAUAGAGCUAAGUGAUCCCACAACCAACAGAUCAGAUCUAAGCUAUACAGUCCUGUCGUGAAUGGUGAUGGACAGUUAAACAACUCACUGAAGGCAGAGGCUCCACAAAUAUCCCCAUCCUCAAUGAUGGAAGACCCCACCACAUCAGUGUAAAAAAUAAGGCUGAAAUAUUCACAACACUCUUCAGCCAGCGUGGAUGAUCCAUCUGGGCCUCUUUCAGUGGCCCCCAGCGUUACAGAUACCAGUCUUCAGCCAAUUUGAUUCACUCCACGUGAUAUCAAGGAAUGGUUGGAGACACUGGAUAUUCCAAAGGCUACAGGCCUUGACAACAUUCCAGCAAUAUUACUGAAGACUCAUGCUCCAGAACUUGCUGCUCCCCUAGACAAACUAUUCCAGUACAGUUACAACACUGGUAUCUACCCAACAAUGUGGAAAAUGGCCCAAGUACGUCCUAUACACAAAAAGCAGGACAAAUCCAACCUGACCAAUUACUGCCCCAUCAGCCUACUCUCGAUCGUCAGUAAAGUAAUGGAAAAUGUCAUCAACAGUGCUAGCAAGCAGCACCUGCUCAGCAAUAACCUGCUCAGUGACGCCCAGUUUGGGUUCUACCAGGGCCACUCAGCUCCAGAUCUCAUUACAGCCUUCGUUCAAACAUGGACAAAAGAGCUGAAUUCCAGAGGUGAGGUGACAGUGGGAGCCGUUGAUAUCAAGGCUGCAAUCAAACAAGUGUGGCAUCAAGCAGCCCUCGCAAACUGGAAUCAAUGGGUAUCAGAGGACAAACUCUCCGGUGGUUGGAAUAAGACCAGACACAGGAAGAGGUUUGAGUUUGUUGGAGAGGUCAAUCAUCUCAUCUCCAGGACAUCUCUGCUGGAGUUCCUCAGGGUAGUGUCCUAGGCCCAACCAUCUUCAGUUGCUUCAUCCAUGACCUUCCCUCCAUCGUAAGGUCAGAAGUGGGGAUAUUCACCGAUAAUUGUACCAUGAUCACAUACAACAAGAUCUGGACAAUGUCCAGACUUUGGCAGACAAGGGGCAAAAGACAUUUGCACCACACAGAUGCCAGGCCAAGACAUCACCAAUAAGAGACUAUCUAACCACUGUCUACAUUCAAGGGUGUUACCAUCACUGAAUUCCCCACUAUCAACAUCAUGGGGCUUACCAUUGAUCAGAAACUCAACUGGUCUCACCACAUUAACACAGUGGCUACAACAGCAGGCCAGAAGCUAGGAAUACUGCAGCGAGUAACUUACCUCCUGACUUCUCAAAGCCUAUCCGCCAGCUAUAAGGCACAAGCCAGGAACGUGAUGGAAUACUCCCCACUUUCCUGAAUGAGUGCAGCCUCAACAACACUCAAGAAGCUUAACACAUUCCAGGACAAAGCAGCCUGUUUGAUUGGCAUUACAUCCAGAAGCAUUUACUCCCUCCACCUACGACACUCAUUAGCAGCAAUGUGUACAAUUUACAAGAUGCAUUGCAGAAAUUCACCAAAAAUUCUCAGACUGCGCCUUCCAAAUCCACGACCACUUCCGUCUAGAAGGACAAGGGCAUCAGACAUAUGGGAACCACCACCAUUCUGACUUGGCAAUAUGUAUUCUCUGUCACUGGGUCAAAAUCCUGGAGUUCCUUCCCUGAUGGCAUUGUGGGUCACCCUACAGCAAGAGGACUGCAGCAGUUCAAGAAGGCAGCUCACCACCGAUUUCUCAAGGGCAGCUAGGGAUGGGCAAGAAAUGCUGGUCAGCCAGCGACACCCACAUCCCAUAAAUGAAUGGAAAGAAAUGCUGCCCAUAUCAAGGGAUCCUCGUGUUUCCCCUCCUUUCACUGGUGCUGAUACAUUGUCUCAGAAUCCUCACUGUUGCUCACUCGUCUUGAUGAUCCUGACUGUAUAUCGCAGGUUCCUCAUGUAGCAUGCUCCUCUGCCUCUAGGCAGGAACCUUGUUUAUCACUAAAUAAGACGAAAAGAAAUUACAACUUAUACAAAUACAUAUGAAGAAAAUACAAAUUACAGUGGUUAGCUGCUAAAUACAAAACUUCGCAUGAUUUUUGAAAGAGGUCAACCUUUAAAAAUCCCUUCACUUACCAAAUUCCUGGAUUUCAGUGCCAGCAGUUUUACUUACGGUAUGCUGUAUGCAAAAAAAAAGGAAACCAUCAAACCCUGAAAACAAUUUAAGUUAUUGGAACAACACAAUCACUAUGGAUUACUUCAACAGGCACGCUGUGGAACUCCCAAGAGAAAUCCAGUUUUUUGAAACAUCGGAGCCAUUGUGUUCUGCUGUCUUGCGGCUGAGAAGAAGAAGAAUACCUCUUCCAGGUUUUCAAAGAUAAUGGAUGUCCAAAAAACCCAAUCAGAAGAUGCCUAAUCGAACAACACCGGGAAGAUACCACACCCUCCAACACACUCAUCAUGCUACCUUAUAAUUGAAAUUCAAUUCAGGAGCAUAUCGGAACUAACCGCAAGAGUCCUACGACUGUUGGGCAUCAGAGGGGCACACAAAUCCACAUUAACCCAUGACAACUGCUCACCCAAACCAAAGACCCACUUCCCACUAUGGACUGGACCAGUGUCAUCUUUAAGAUUCCCAGCAGAGACUGUGACAAACAGGAAGAAAAUUAACAAGGGUGCACUAACACCAAUUGGCUACAAAAAGACACGCCCAAUACUCACUCAUCUCUAUCCACAUGGAUAAGAAAAACCACCAAUUCGACUGGGACAACACUAAGAUCCUGGGACAAGCAAAACAGAGACAGGCAUAGGAAUUCCUAGAAGACUGGUACUCCGCAAAGAAAGCCAUCAAUAAGCACAUAGACUUCGAUCCCACAUACAGUUCACUAUGAAGGAAAACCGGAAGUGAGGUAAUCCAGCUCAACGGACUCCAGAGUUUAAAAACCAGGUGGGAAAACACAAUGGUGUUUCAUCAGAGGCUGCACUGAUGACGUUACCCAGCAGGGUAAUGAAACGUCUGCGGAACAACAAACUAGAUCGGCGAGCCAACAACCACAACAGACAGUCAUGUGUCCACCAAUGAAUCUUGUUGUAUUGACUUGAUACUGCUAGUUCUUAU